rnacentral:rRNA from 1 species
AUUGAACGCUGGCGGCAGGCCUAACACAUGCAAGUCAAGCGGAGCGGCGGACGGGAGAGUAAUGCCUAGGAAUCUGCCUGGUCGUGGGGGAUAACGUCCGGAAAAGGGCGCUAAUACCGCAUACUAUAAGAUGCGACUAGGUCGGAUUAGCUAGUUGGUGGGGUAAAGGCCUACAAAGGCGACGAACCGUAACUGGUCUGAGAGGAUGAUCAUUCAUACUGGAACUGAGACACGGUCCAGACUCCUACGUGAGGCAGCAGUGGGGAAUAUUGGACAAUGGGCGAAAGCCGGAUGCAGCCAUGCCGCGUGUGUGAAGAAGGUCUUCGGAUUGUAAAGCACUGUAAGUUGGGAGGCGUUACCAACAGAAUAAGCACCGGCUAACUUCGUGCCAGCAGCCGCGGUAAUUC